rnacentral:rRNA from 1 species
CACGUAGGGCGCAAGCGUUGUCCGGAAUUAUUGGGCGUAAAGAGCUCGUAGGCGGUCUGUUACGUCUGCUGUGAAAACCCAGGGCUUAACCCUGGGCUUGCAGUGGAUACGGGCAGACUAGAGGCAGGUAGGGGAGAAUGGAAUUCCCGGUGUAGCGGUGAAAUGCGCAGAUAUCAGGAGGAACACCGGUGGCGAAGGCGGGUCUCUGGGCAUUAACUGACGCUGAGGAGCGAAAGCACGGGGAGCGAACAGG